AGUGAACGCUGGCGGUAGGCCUAACACAUGCAAGUCGAACGGCAGCACAGUAAGAGCUUGCUCUUACGGGUGGCGAGUGGCGGACGGGUGAGGAAUACAUCGGAAUCUACUUUUUCGUGGGGGAUAACGUAGGGAAACUUACGCUAAUACCGCAUACGACCUACGAGUGAAAGCAGGGGAUCUUCGGACCUUGCGCGAUUGAAUGAGCCGAUGUCGGAUUAGCUAGUUGGCGGGGUAAAGGCCCACCAAGGCGACGAUCCGUAGCUGGUCUGAGAGGAUGAUCAGCCACACUGGAACUGAGACACGGUCCAGACUCCUACGGGAGGCAGCAGUGGGGAGCAUUGGACAAUGGGCGCAAGCCUGAUCCAGCCAUACCGCGUGGGUGAAGAAGGCCUUCGGGUUGUAAAGCCCUUUUGUUGGGAAAGAAAAGCAGCAGGUUAAUACCCCGCUGUUCUGACGGUACCCAAAGAAUAAGCACCGGCUAACUUCGUG
rnacentral:rRNA from 1 species